AACAGGAAAGGGAGUCUGCAGCCAGAGUCUGCGGAAACUCUGGAAGGCAAGCCACAGGUGGACUGGAUCGAUUGUUACACAAAGCAGGUUGUCACAAAGCAUGUCCCAGCACCUUUUAUGAUGAGGUACUGUUCCCAGUGCUGAGGGGGACAAGUCAGUGGAUGUCCAGCCCUCAAGGAGUGUGGGGAAGCAUCCAUAAAACACCACGGCGGUAGGAGGAUGCUGAGCUCCUGAGACGACUCAGAGGAUGGGGCCGGACGUCAGGCCGGGCUGCACACCUCCCGGGCGAUGCGGAAAGCGCUAACUGCCAGAGGAGAAGCCGAAGCUGCGUCCAAAGGUGUCCUUUCAACUCCCCCAGCAGGAGCGACGUGUCAGCAAGCCGUCGGAGAAGCCGGGAUGUCCCCAGCUUUGUGCCUCCGCCAGCCAUGCUCGCACGCAGUGACUUGGCUGCAACUCUGCGGAGACUCGGCCGAGCACUGACAGAGUCCCCGCAACAGAAACCAGACCCGUCCUCCCCAGUCGCAGGAUAAUCUCUGGAAGAACACGUGCCCAUCUUGCUUACCUUCUCUUGCAGACCCGGACUCUGUUUUCCAUUAAAUGUCAAGUCCAGUGGCCCAUCUUGAUCGGAAAGGGCAGGCUUUCACUGCCAUUAAAAACAUCUUAUUAAAAAGAUGGACAGAUUCAAUAAUAGAGUUAAAAGGUGAUUCAGGUUCGGAGUCUGCACCUGGGAGAUAGCACCGCUUUCCACAGAAUGAAACUCAAAGGGCUUGGCCGAGCUUUCAGCCUCCCUGUCCCCUCUGAUGCGCGCGCACACACACACACACACGGAGCCAGCACCCAGCUGCAGCUCAGCAAGGACCUCUCUUCCCGCCACGCGUCCUCACUCUCUGUCCUCUGCCACUGCUGUGCCCCGUCUGAGGCCCCUCUUCCCAUCUCCACCCAGCGACACUCCGCUGGAUUUUCAAAGUACCCUCUUGAAACCCACCACUGCCAAAAGCCUCCCCACCGCCGCUAAUCUGAGUCCCACACCCCCCCCCCUUCUCCCAGUACCUUCUGUAGCCCUUUGGUGAGGCUUACCAGCGCACUCCACUUACGGGGACUGUCGGUGCCUCCUGCCAGAUCCUAAUCCAGGAGGAGAAAGAACGAACACCUCUCCUUCAGCUUCCUCACCUGCGAAAUGGGUAGAACCACAGCCACAGCACUACGCUGAGAAUUAUGUGAGCCUGAUGUGUGCAAAGCGCUUAAACAGCACGUGGCACGUGGUGAUGCUCUCUGGGCUCCCGGGUGCCCGCCGAGGGCCACUGGUCUUACCGCCACGCUCUCAGUCGCUUCUCCGGGCCUGGAGAGAUGAGGUCACUGAAGCACGCAGAGGUCACGUGCAUGCGCCAAAGUCAUAGAGCCCCUGAGUAGAGUCGCAGGAGCGGGGUGGGGGGUGGGGGGGCUCACAUCCAGGUCUGGCUGGCUCUCAGGUGCACGUUCUAGGACCAUCUCUGACUCUUCCCAAGGUCAGGCCUUCAAGGGCUGCCUUUUUGAAUUUUGAGGGAGGAAAUGAUCAUGACAAUCCAUUUUUUUUUUUUAAAGAAAUACCCCCCAGGGGCGCCUGGGUGGC